rnacentral:rRNA from 1 species
CACGGGGGGAGCAAGCGUUGUUCGGAAUCACUGGGCGUAAAGGGCGUGUAGGCGGUCAGGUAAGUGGGAUGUGAAAUGCCUCGGCUCACCCGAGGCACUGCAUUCCAAACUGCUUGGCUUGAGUAUGGGAGAGGAUGAGGGAAUUCCUGGUGUAGCGGUGAAAUGCGUAGAUAUCAAGAGGAACACCUGAGGUGAAGACGGGUUGCUGGGCUGACACUGACGCUGAGGCGCGAAAGCCAGGGGAGCAAACGGG